UGUUUUAUCUUUUUGAGUUAUGAUUCAAGGAAAUGUUUCCCACCUUGUGAAGGGAAGAAAUGAUGGAAUGGCAGGUGCUAUGUAUGGCAUGAUUUCAAGAUUUCCCAGAAAAGCCAGCCUAACCCUGAGGAAUACAUCAUCAUGGUUGUCUUUCCCUUGGGAUUCUGAGCACCAGAGAGCAUCCCCAUUGGUUCAGAAAACGGGAGAACAAAGCGCUGGUGAUUCCAAGGACACACAAGGAAGAGGCGAAAAAGAGCCGGGGAACUAGUGCGGGAACUUCCUUACAAGUGUUGAGUUGGCUAGGCAACUCUGCUCCGUGUAAUCCUUAAUCAAGGACCCCGAGCUCAAGGAGGUCAAGGAACUCGUCCUCUGCAUUCAGGAAAGAAAAAAGAGGACUCUUCAGGAAGAUAAUUCAAAUGGCGGGAUAUUUUAAGAACCCAAGAAAGCCGGUGAGAGUUGUUUUAGAUGGAGACUUAGUGUCCCUUGCAUCAAACCAUGUCACCUGCAUACGGGACUGCCCCUGGAUACAUGUAUUUUGCAUUUCCUCACUGAAAAGGAUUCACACUAAUGCCGAGUGGGAAGAAAAUGUAUAAACAAUUAACUUCCCAAG